rnacentral:rRNA from 1 species
GCAUAUCAAUAAGCGGAGGAAAAGAAACUAACAAGGAUUCCCUUAGUAACGGCGAGUGAAGCGGGAAGAGCUCAAAUUUGAAAUCUUCAAGGUUCUACCUUGACGAAUUGUAGUUUAAAGAAGUGUUUUCUGUUAGAUGAGUAGCAAAAGUUCCUUGGAAUGGGACAUCGUAGAGGGUGAGAAUCCCGUAUUUGGUUAUUCAUUCUAGCUUUGUGAUACACUUUCAAAGAGUCGGAUUGUUUGGGAAUGCAGUCCAAAAUGGGUGGUAAAUUUCAUCUAAAGCUAAAUAUUGGCGAGAGACCGAUAGCGAACAAGUACCGUGAGGGAAAGAUGAAAAGAACUUUGAAAAGAGAGUUAAACAGUACGUGAAAUUGUCAAAAGGGAAGCGUUUGACACCAGUGUUGUUUUUCCGAAAAUCAAUUACGAAUGGCUUGAUUUUGUGUUGUAUUGACCUUAUCAGCUUUCUGCACUUUUUUCGAGUCUUUCUUAAUGCACUUUUCGGUUAACAAGUCAACAUCAAUUUCUUUUGUUGUAAAAGAGUAUUCGGAAGGUGGCUUUCUUUUCGGAGAAAGUGUUUAUAGCCCUAUACUUCUACAAUCGGAGAGAUUGAGGUCUGCAGCGUAGAUCCUUCGGGGUUAGAUACAUUUGUGCUAAGUUGUAGCUUUUCAUAGACAACUUGUUGACUAUGUUUAGUCAUGCGGCUUACUCGCUUAUGCUAUUUUACCUACGCUUAGGAUGUUGACAAAAUGGUUUUAAACGACCCGUCUUGAAACACGGACC